rnacentral:rRNA from 1 species
CCUAUUGGUACGCGGAGGGACAUUACCGAGUUAUACAACUCCCAAACCCACUGUGAACCUUACCUCAGUUGCCUCGGCGGGAACGCCCCGGCCGCCUGCCCCCGCGCCGGCGCCGGACCCAGGCGCCCGCCGCAGGGACCCCAAACUCUCUUGCAUUACGCCCAGCGGGCGGAAUUUCUUCUCUGAGUUGCACAAGCAAAAACAAAUGAAUCAAAACUUUCAACAACGGAUCUCUUGGUUCUGGCAUCGAUGAAGAACGCAGCGAAAUGCGAUAAGUAAUGUGAAUUGCAGAAUUCAGUGAAUCAUCGAAUCUUUGAACGCACAUUGCGCCCGCCAGCAUUCUGGCGGGCAUGCCUGUUCGAGCGUCAUUUCAACCCUCGAGCCCCCCCCGGGGGCCUCGGUGUUGGGGGACGGCACACCAGCCGCCCCCGAAAUGCAGUGGCGACCCCGCCGCAGCCUCCCCUGCGUAGUAGCACACACCUCGCACCGGAGCGCGGAGGCGGUCACGCCGUAAAACGCCCAACUUUCUUAGAGUUGACCUCGGAUCAGGUAGGAAUACCCGCUGAACUUAAGCAUAUCAAA